GGUCACUUAUCACUUUCGCUUAGCCACUCAAACCGAAGUCCGAACAGCUAGUGACCAUCGUUUACGGCGUGGACUACCAGGGUAUCUAAUCCUGUUCGCUCCCCACGCUUUCGUCCAUCAGUGUCAGUAUAUUAUUAGUAAUCUGCCUUCGCAAUUGGGUAUUCUAUGUAAUAUCUAUGCAUUUCACCGCUACACUACAUAUUCUAACUACUUCAUAAUAACUCAAGAUAACCAGUAUCAAAGGCAAUUCUACAGUUGAGCUGCAGGAUUUCACCUCUGACUUAAUUAUCCACCUACGGACCCUUUAAACCCAAUGAUUCCGGAUAACGCUUGGAUCCUCCGUAUUACCGCGGCUGCUGGCACGGAGUUAGCCGAUCCUUAUUCUUACAGUACCGUCAAGCUGCUACACGUAGCAGUGUUUCUUCCUGUACAAAAGCAGUUUACAACCCAUAGGGCAGUCUUCCUGCACGCGGCAUGGCUGGAUCAGAGUUGCCUCCAUUGUCCAAUAUUCCUCACUGCUGCCUCCCGUAGGAGUCUGGUCCGUGUCUCAGUACCAGUGUGGGGGAUCCCCCUCUCAGGGCCCCUACCUAUCGUCGCCAUGGUGUGCCGUUACCACACCAUCUAGCUAAUAGGACGCAUAGUCAUCUCUUACCGUAAUCUUUAAUGUUGUCUUGAUGCCAAGUCAACAUACUAUAAGGU
rnacentral:rRNA from 1 species